rnacentral:tRNA from 1 species
CAAAUUAAAUUAAUUAAGUUAAGUUUUAUUUACAAUAAAAAAGUUGUUGUGGGAAUCAAUGUAAUUUGA